UACGUAGGGGCUAGCGUUGUCCGGAAUCAUUGGGCGUAAAGAGCGUGUAGGCGGUCCGGUAAGUCCGCUGUGAAAGUCGGGGCUCAACCCUCGAAUGCCGGUGGAUACUGUCGGGCUAGAGUGCGGAAGAGGCGAGUGGAAUUCCUGGUGUAGCGGUGAAAUGCGCAGAUAUCAGGAGGAACACCUAUUGCGAAGGCAGCUCGCUGGGACGUAACUGACGCUGAGACGCGAAAGCGUGGGGAGCAAACAGG
rnacentral:rRNA from 1 species